ACACGUAGGAGCCAAGCGUUAUCCGAAUUCACUGGGCGUAAAGCGCGUGUAGGCGGUCUUACAAGUUGGGUGUGAAAGCUCCUGGCUCAACUAGGAGAGGACGUUCAAUACUGUAAGACUAGAGGACGGCAGAGGAAGGUGGAAUUCCCGGUGUAGUGGUGAAAUGCGUAGAUAUCGGGAGGAACACCAGAGGCGAAGGCGGCCUUCUGGGCCGAUCCUGACGCUCAGACGCGAAAGCUAGGGGAGCGAACGGGAUUAGAAACCCCGGUAGUCCUAGCCGUAAACGAUGUAGACUUGGCGCUGGUGGUGUAAAAGCCAUCAGUGCCGAAGCCAACGCGAUAAGUCUACCGCCUGGGGACUACGGCCGCAAGGUUAAA
rnacentral:rRNA from 1 species